UCGCCCGUUGCUCGAGCCGGAAGACGCGCGCGGGCUGAAAUUCCGCGUGCAGGCGUCCGACGUGCUCAACGAGCAGUUCCGCCAGCUCCGCGCGAUC
rnacentral:tRNA from 1 species